UUAAAUUCCUUGAAGGGAAGCAGUAGAAACAGGAAGCUUGUCUACAGAGAGCUGCGCAGGUGGAAAGCAGCGUCAGGUCUGUUUUGAAGAUCAUCCCCGAGAAGGGAAGCCGAACACAUCACACGCCAAGUAGGUUUCCACGGUUGUUCCCCGUUAUCGGAACCACGUAUGUCGGUACGUUGUCUUUUCGUACUUGUUUCAAAGGAGAAACAGGGUGGUUGCGGCCUUAUAUAGUCCGUCCCUAGU
rnacentral:ncRNA from 1 species